ensembl:lncRNA CASC15 cancer susceptibility 15
UUUUUUUUUUUUUUUCUAUUUUUUUUUUUUAAAUUCUGAAGCCAGACCGUCUUUCCUCACAGCUCCACGGCUGCAUCUCCGUGGGCACGCAAGCUUCCCCUGGUUACCUGAGCUGCUCCUGCCGUCUCCCGCCUGGGCUUCGCCGUGGUGCACCCGAUCCCGGAAUCGUGCGUCUGCGCCCUGCGAAAGAAGGACCUGCUGGCGGAGCUCCGGCCGGGGUCUCCUGCCUCGCAGCUGGGCGAGGGGACUUGGAGGACAGGGUGAAGCUGCAGAAGACCUGGGGUGGGAUGGCUAGAGAGGACGCCAAGGACUGGGGAAGGGGAAGUUAGGAAUACCUUACAUCCAAUGCCCACCCGUGCUCCGCAGGGCAAGGGCAGCCGUCGCCUCGGCCGCGUGCACCCAGCUCAGGCUGUUCCCAGGGAUUUAGUCUGGGGGGACAACCCAUGGCGAGAUGUGGUGGCAUUUUACCUCAGAGUGGAGCUGAAGAUGGAUAAACAAGGCUCACAGGCAGAAGGAAUUUUCCUUGUCUUGGAUGAGACUUUUGACUUGGACUUUUGGGUUAAGGAUUUACAGAAAGCGUGGUGCUGGCAUCUGAUCAGCUUCUGGGGUGGCCUCAGGAAGCUUACAAUCAUGGUGGCAUUUGAAGUGGAAGCGAGAGAGAGAAGAGGAGAUGCAACACACUUUUAAACAAGAUUUCAGGAGAACUCAUUCACUAUGAUUCUACAUCUCCAUCCAUGGGCCACUGUUUCAGCAACCUCAGCCAGUGCAACACAACCUCAGCCAAGAAGAGUAUGCAGAGAAAGGAGUCCCCUACCUGCCACAAAACUGUUGUCUGAAAACUGUCUCAUAUUGUCUCAAGUUGUCAUUCAUUGUGAAUUAGACCUGUUUAACAUGUAAUCUGCAACAUGCUUCACUGUCUAAUUUUCCAGAGCCCCUCAUAUAAGGAACUGUAUUAUUGGUAUAAUCAUCAUGGUGAAGAAGUUGGUAUGUGGGGGAGAGAUGACAGAAACAGAGAGUAAGUCAGAGCUGGCUGCCUGACAGAUAAAAAGGAAAUGACCAAAAAAAAAAAAAAAGACACAGAAGAAUACUUUGUUGUCCACACAGAAAAGGGAAGUGUAGGUAAGACAGCAGUAGACUAAGAUUCUUAAGACUCAAGUUCUAGUCUUAUUUAUUAGCUAUGGGAGGCCUUGAGGGAGUUCUAGAAUUAAGUGAUCUCUCUUUAUAAAAUAGGAACAGUAAUAACUUCCUGGCUAACUCCCUGGCUGUCUCACAAUGCUGUAGUAGUAAGAAAUAAUUUUAUAAUUAAAGACUAUUUUAGGGCUGAUUACAUUUUUGGGCAGUGGCUCAUACAUGUAAUUUCAACAUUUUGGGAGGCCAAGGUGGGCGGAUUGCUUGAGCCCAGGAAUUCAAGACCAGGCUGGGCAACACAGACCUUGUCACUACAAAAGAAAAAAACAUUAGCUAGGCGUGGUGAUGUAUGCCUGUGGUCCCAGCUACUCAGGAAGCUGAGACAGGAGGAUCACCUGAGCCUGGGAGGUCGAGGCUACAGUGAGCCAUGAUCACACUACUGCACUCCAGCCUGGGAAACAGAGUGAGACUCUGUCUCAAAAAAAAAAAAAAAGGAAUAUUUUACACUUCAAGGUUCUAUACAAAUGUAAAAUAUCAUUCUAUUACUUAUUUAUAAUGCUGAUUAUUCUUUAAAUGACUUUAAAAUGUUAAUCUCUGCUUGAGCCUACGGAGAAGUAUGUAACAAAUUUGUGAAGGAUUGGCAUUAAACAUAGUCAAAAUAAAACAUAGAAAUUAUGGUAAAU